rnacentral:rRNA from 1 species
CCUACGGGCGGCAGCAGUGAGGAAUAUUGGUCAAUGGGCGAGAGCCUGAACCAGCCAAGUCGCGUGAAGGAUGACGGCCCUACGGGUUGUAAACUUCUUUUGUCAGGGAGCAAUUGGGUCCACGCGUGGGCUUAGCGAGAGUACCUGAAGAAAAAGCAUUGGCUAACUCCGUGCCAGCAGCCGCGGUAAUACGGAGGAUGCGAGCGUUAUCCGGAUUUAUUGGGUUUAAAGGGUGCGUAGGCGGAAUAUCAAGUCAGCGGUAAAAAUUCGGGGCUCAACCCCGUCGUGCCGUUGAAACUGAUGUUCUGGAGUGGGCGAGAAGUAUGCGGAAUGCGUGGUGUAGCGGUGAAAUGCAUAGAUAUCACGCAGAACUCCGAUUGCGAAGGCAGCAUACCGGCGCCCAACUGACGCUGAAGCACGAAAGCGUGGGUAUCGAACAGGAUUAGAUACCCCAGUAGUC